rnacentral:rRNA from 1 species
AGUGAACGCUGGCGGUAGGCCUAACACAUGCAAGUCGAACGGCAGCACAGUAAGAGCUUGCUCUUACGGGUGGCGAGUGGCGGACGGGUGAGGCAUACAUCGGAAUCUACUUUUUCGUGGGGGAUAACGUAGGGAAACUUAUGCUAAUACCGCAUACGACCUACGGGUGAAAGCAGGGGAUCUUCGGACCUUGCGUGAUUGAAUGAGACGAUGCCGGAUUAGCUAGUUGGCGGGGUAAAGGCCCACCAAGGCGACGAUCCGUAGCUGGUCUGAGAGGAUGAUCAGCCACACUGGAACUGAGACACGGUCCAGACUCCUACGGGAGGCAGCAGUGGGGAAUAUUGGACAAUGGGCGCAAGCCUGAUCCAGCCAUACCGCGUGAGUGAAGAAGGCCUUCGGGUUGUAAAGCCCUUUUAUUGGGAAAGAAAAGCAGCAGGUUAAUACCCCGCUGUUCUGACGGUACCCAAAGAAUAAGCACCGGCUAACUUCGUG